GAGUUUGAUCCUGGCUCAGGAUGAACGCUGGCGGCGUGCUUAACACAUGCAAGUCGAACGGGAAUUACUUUAUUGAAACUUCGGUCGAUUUAAUUUAAUUCUAGUGGCGGACGGGUGAGUAACGCGUGGGUAACCUGCCUUAUACAGGGGGAUAACAGUCAGAAAUGACUGCUAAUACCGCAUAAGCGCACGGAACCGCAUGGUUCUGUGUGAAAAACUCCGGUGGUAUAAGAUGGACCCGCGUUGGAUUAGCUUGUUGGUGAGGUAACGGCUCACCAAGGCGACGAUCCAUAGCCGGCCUGAGAGGGUGAACGGCCACAUUGGGACUGAGACACGGCCCAGACUCCUACGGGAGGCAGCAGUGGGGAAUAUUGCACAAUGGGGGAAACCCUGAUGCAGCGACGCCGCGUGAAGGAAGAAGUAUCUCGGUAUGUAAACUUCUAUCAGCAGGGAAGAUAGUGACGGUACCUGACUAAGAAGCCCCGGCUAACUACGUGCCAGCAGCCGCGGUAAUACGUAGGGGGCAAGCGUUAUCCGGAUUUACUGGGUGUAAAGGGAGCGUANACGGUGUGGCAAGUCUGAUGUGAAAGGCAUGGGCUCAACCUGUGGACUGCAUUGGAAACUGUCAUACUUGAGUGCCGGAGGGGUAAGCGGAAUUCCUAGUGUAGCGGUGAAAUGCGUAGAUAUUAGAGGAACACCAGUGGCGAAGCGGCGUAAUGGACGGUAACGACCGUGAGGCUCGAAAGGGUGGUGAGCAAUCAGGAGUAGAUACGCGGGUAGUCCACGCGGUAAACGAUGAAUACUAGGUGUCGGGGAGCAUGGCUAUUCGGUGCCGUCGCAGACGCAGUAAGUAUUCCACCUGGGGAGUACGUUCGCAAGAAUGAAAGUCAAAGGAAUUGACGGGGACCCGCACAAGCGGUGGAGCAUGUGGUUUAAUUCGAAGCAACGCGAAGAACCUUACCAAAUCUUGACAUCCCUGUGACCGGCUCUUAAUCGAGUCUUUCCUUCGGGACAGAGGUGACAGGUGGUGCAUGGUUGUCGUCAGCUCGUGUCGUGAGAUGUUGGGUUAAGUCCCGCAACGAGCGCAACCCCUAUCCUCAGUAGCCAGCAUUUAAGGUGGGCACUCUGUGGAGACUGCCAGGGAUAACCUGGAGGAAGGCGGGGAUGACGUCAAAUCAUCAUGCCCCUUAUGAUUUGGGCUACACACGUGCUACAAUGGCGUAAACAAAGGGAAGCGAACCUGUGAAGGCAAGCAAAUCCCAAAAAUCACCUCCCAGUUCGGACUGCAGUCUGCAACUCGACUGCACGAAGCUGGAAUCGCUAGUAAUCGCGGAUCAGAAUGCCGCGGUGAAUACGUUCCCGGGUCUUGUACACACCGCCCGUC
rnacentral:rRNA from 1 species